rnacentral:rRNA from 1 species
UAUUAAACUAGGGAUUGAUACCCUAUUAUUGUAGUGAGAGAGAAUUAUUAGGAAGUAAAUGUUAGAAGCAUUAAAUUUAAAUAAUUUGGCGGUAUUUUAUAAGGUUAGAGGAAUCUGUUAUGUAAUUGAUAAUCCACGGUAGGGGUAUCCUGAUAUAGUUUUAUGUAUUGUUGUUUAGAUAUUGAUUUAAGAGAAUUUGAUAGGAAUUUAAUUUAUGUGAGAAUAAUUCAAAUCAAAGUGUAGAGUUGUUAGGAAUAAAUGGAUUACAGUUUAUUAAAUAAUUGGAGUUUAUGUUUUUAAUAUAUAAAUGAAAGUGGAUUUAAUAGUAAGGUUAUUAAAUUAAAUAAAUUGAAAUGUAUUUAAAAUAUGUACAAAUUGCCAUCAUUU